AACCCUUUCAUUUUGUCAAGUAAAUGAAAAGAGUAAAUGAAAUGAGGAGGACCAUGCCCCACUCAGUAUGAACAAAUGAUUGAUUAAAGUGAAAAAAUGUGGCCCUGAAUAGAGAAACGAAGAGUUUCUGUCACUGAGAAAAUGACAUUGCAGAACAUUUUAAUUGACAAAUGGCACCAGUCACAGCAUGACUUAGGAACUGCUCAGAAGGGAUACAUGAUGACCUCUGGGUAGCUCUGGGCAGGAGAGCUUGUGGGACCCCAGGAAGGGAGCUAGAGCCCUGCACAGAUUAGCAGGGGAGCUCCAGGGUCUGCUGCAGGAGCAUGACGCAUUGGCAAGGCUUUGCAGCUUACAGAACACACUCUGCCAUUUCAUCAGCAUUAUCCUUUGCUCACCCUCCCCUCGCGCUCAUAUGGAUUCUGAUCCCCCGUCUGACGUGCAGAUACUGUCGGUGAUUCAGCUCAGGUGUCCCUGCAGAGUAAUAAGGCCCCUGCUCCUCUGUGAUUGCCAGCUGCCAUCGCUCUCAGAAGCCCAGACAAACCCACCUGACUGCACUUAUUUAUAGAGCCGAAGGGGGGCACUACUCUCCCUUAGGGCUAGCUCUCCCUCCUUGGGACGGAGCAGGUUGCGGAUCAGCUCAGUUCCUCACCUUGUUUCUCAUACUCUCUGCCCUGGCACCACUGCCGGCCCCUUUCCUGCAGGACAUUCCAGUGCUUCCUCUCGAAGGAGGAGCGGCCCCUUCAAAAACGAGCUGUGUGCCUGGGCUGUGCCCCCACCACUGGGGCCAGCCCCAUGCUGGUGCCCCUGCCCUGGUGGGUCCCGGCUAGCUCAGCACGGCUGUCAGAUGAGUGGUCACCCACGCACCUCCUUCCUUCCCCUUCACAGCUGAAGGCAGAGUCCUCUGAGCGCCGCGGAGGAGCCAGGGCAGGGGCUGGAGAUCAAAGGUGAGUACGGGGGGAUGCGGGAGGGCACGCAGCCAGCAAUGCCAGGUAAUGGGUUUAUCAGGCCCUUCCUGGUCCUUUUGCGCAAGCUGUAAGGUGCUGGUUGCAGCAUUUCUGGUUCCUGCCCUUGCAAGCUGUUCCUGCAGCCAUAAGCAAAACCCACAACCUCCUCACCCGAGUGUUUGAAUGGUGCCUUGUGCUUGUGACUCUGUGUGCUGAGCUGUGGGGCAGACAGGAGCGGGGGCCAGUGCAUCCUGUUUUUCUGUCCCUUAUAGCAAUCCCGGGCCUGAGGUCUGGAUCAGGGUUGCUUUUGAAUGUCCCAGACCUCAGCAGUGUGCCUGCCGGGGCGUACCUGUUCCUGAAGAGGGGGGGGUAGCAGGGUUGGCCCAUCCACCUCGCUGUCCCACUGGACAGGUUUUACCACGAGUGCUGAUCUGACAGGAGAGGCGGGUUUGAUCUUGGGUGCUGCAGGAAAGCCUGUCCAGGACCGGGGCCUGGCGCUGAACUGCUGCAGUAGGGAUGCAGCUCUGCAAAGCCCUGCUGGGGAAGGCUCCAAACAGCGUGCAGUGAGGGCACCAACACAGCACCGACGUGUCACGCGCGGCACUGGGCAGAGGGGCGGGCAGCCUUGCUGUCUCCUGCGUGACAGUGCCCGCCAGCGCAGUGCUGUGUGCAGACAGAUGGACAGUGGUACCAGGAGAGCCUCCACGGCGAAAACAAAGGGAAGGUAUGGGAAGGAGAUGUAGAGGCACAAGAGUUUGAUUUGGAAGGAGAGGAAUUUGACCAACCACACAUCAGUUUGAAUUGUGGUUAAACCAGACAGCAUCUCAGUGAAGACUGUGACAGCCUGGAGAGAGCUGCAGUGCAGCACUGCGUGUAUUUGACAAGCUGAGUUCGACACUCAGUUUGGCAGAGUGUCAGUUUGUCAAAUACCCCAAGUGAGGCACUUGCUGAGCAACACAGCCGCACACCGAGGGAACUGACUCUCCUUCCUUGACUUGGGCAGGAGCCUUUGCAUCUGUAUUCUGAUCCUCUCUGUAAACGUGACAAGGUAUUGAGCAAACUUGCUGAAUGCCUGACUGAUUCCAUGCUGUCAGGUUUCCUUUCCACCCCAAUUUCGGAAGUGUCUGUUGGGGUGUAAUCCUAACGGCAAACUGUUGCAGAAGUGGUGUUGGUACCAUUCCUCUGUGUUGGGAAAACAGCCAAGGCCAACACUGUUCUAUGUCACAGCACUGGCUAGCAAGUUGUUAAUAAAUAUGCUGUUCGGUUAAUAAAGCUUCUGGCAACUA